GACGAACGCUGGCGGCGUGCUUAACACAUGCAAGUCGAACGAGUGGGAACGGGUGAGUAAUACGUGGGUAACCUCCCUCCUUUUUGGAUAAGCCUUGGAAACGGGGUCUAAACCGAUACUGCUGGAUGGACCCGCGGUGCAUUAGCUAGUUGGUGGUGUAACGGCUCACCAAGGCCACGAUGCAUAGCCGACCUGAGGGGGUGAUCGGCAACAUUGGGACUGAGAUACGGCCCAGACUCCUACGGGAGGCAGCAGUGGGGGAUAUUGCACAAUGGUCGAAAGCCUGAUGUAGCGACGCCGCGUGGGGGAUGAAGGCUUUCGGGUUGUAAACCUCUUUCGCUAUCGAACGGGUAGGUGGAGAAGAAGCGCCGGCUAACUACGUGCCAGCCGCCGCGGUAAUUC
rnacentral:rRNA from 1 species